GCCGGCGUGUUGGAAUUGGCAGACGAGGUGGACUCAAAAUCCAUUGCUAGCGAUAGCGUGCGGGUUCAAGUCCCGCCGCCGGCACCA
rnacentral:tRNA from 1 species